rfam:Haemonchus placei strain MHpl1 genome assembly, scaffold: HPLM_scaffold0001760
GUUCCCUCAUCUACCCUGUAGUACCGAAUAGUGUCUGAUUUGUGCAUACACUUUCGGUUACAAGGUGAAUGACGUGAAGU